AGAAUUAGGACUGUCCUUUAGAGAUAUAGUCAUGACUUGCACGUGCCAAAGGAGCCUCUGUAUAUAUUUUUAGAUGCCAAUGUGGCCCCAGUUCUUCUGCAUCCACAUGCAGCUCCAAACAUUUUAAAGGAGAGCGUUUGGUGAAUGCGUUUGGUUUUGGUGUCACCUGUGUGGUUGUUAUGUGCAUCCAUGUCUAUGUCCACAUGUGAAUAAACUACAGACAGAAAGCUAAGUCCAAGAAAUGAGCACUGCUUUUAUUCCCCUCCCAUGAUGAGCUCAUCUACAAAGCCCCUGUGGUCAGCUUGGUUUCCUCUGGCAGAGUCCUGAUGCCCUUUUCCCUGCCCUUUACCCUGCAGUUUGUCUCACUUGUCCCCUGUCUCAGAAGGGAGCUGCUCCCUCAGUCUCACUUGAGUUGGGCUUUUUAUUCAGUGUGGUACUGGUGCAAAUAUUUGGUGAUCCUUUUUAUUAAGAAGAUAAACUCCUGCAGUUUGUUCUAGGUGGAAUUUUCAGAGUGCUUGACUUCAUUCCUAGACAAAGGAGGGACCUAAAGCCCAUCUGUAUACUGUAUACUAGGAGUUUUGCCAUUGAUUCAAUGAGCUCUGGAUCAAGCCAGUCAUUGAAUUGCAGUAAUCGAGUCUGGAAGCCAUCAAAGCACAUCUAUCGUCCGCCUUAUUGCCCUCUGUGAGGUCCUAGAAUGUGAGAUAUUUCUAGUGGCCUGGAAGAGCCAGUAGAUUUCACAGAAAUUAAGGAUGACAAGGAAAUUGAUCUGGAACACCUCCACAGGCGCGUGAACAGUCUCUGCACAGAUGAUGACAGUCCCCAUAAACAGUUUUCCACGUCCUCAAUUGACUUGACCCCACUGGACAUUGACACUUUGCCCACCCGUCAAGCACUGGAGCAAAUCAGUGACUUCAGAAACACUCACAUCACCACAACAACCUUCAUACCAGAACAGAUCCAGACGUUGAGCCGCACGCUGUCUGCCAAAGCUGCUUCUGGCUUCUCCUUCGGCAGCGUACCCGAGCACCGAACUGGCCCUUUUAGGCACAGGGCACCAAACGGAGGCUUUUUCAGAAGCCCCAUCAAAACAAUGUCAUCUAUCCCUUACCAACCAACUCCAACUCUGGGGCUGAACCUCGGCAGUGACCCAGACCGAGGCACCUCCAUAUGAGCAUCAGACCGAAUUUCUUCACUGUUUCUUUUCUAGGACUCCCUUUGCAAGGAGCGGCUGUAAUGUUGUGGGACUAACAUGGAUGUAACCUUUUUCUUUUCUUUUGUUUUUGUUUUUAAAAUUUGAUUUUUAUUUUUCUUUAUUUAAGAAAAGAAUCAGGAUUAUUAGUAACAACUCUUCCUCUUCUCUGCUUUCUCAGUCUGGUCUCCUCUUUCCUUUCUCUCUUUAUUCUCUUUACUACUCUAGUCACUUAUUCUUUCAUUUAUCACCGUAUUAGGUUUGGUUACUUCAGGCUAUUCAUAUACUUAAAUAUAGGAAACGUGUAGCGAUUAAUGCAUAAGAAAACCCUGAGGAUUACUUUACAGAAGAGCACUGGCUCCUCCUCCCCAACUGCCUUUUUUUACUAUACUUGCAAUAACUUAAGUCCUUUACAUCUAUUCUGCUGCGUGCGGUCAGCGCUCCACUGCUGUGUGUCCUUUUAACUGUGGACCAAAGGCAAACCCUGCAGUUUAAAAGACAGAAAGAAAAAAAAAAA